rnacentral:rRNA from 1 species
AGGACGAACGCUGGCAGCGUGCUUAACACAUGCAAGUCGAGCGGUAAGGCCUCCUUCGGGGGGUACACGAGCGGCGAACGGGUGAGUAACACGUGGGUGACCUGCCCUCAGCUCUGGGAUAAGCCUGGGAAACCGGGUCUAAUACCGGAUGGGACUGCUUGCCGCAUGGUGGGUGGUGGAAAGUUUUUUCGGCUGGGGAUGGGCCCGCGGCCUAUCAGCUUGUUGGUGGGGUGAUGGCCUACCAAGGCGGUGACGGGUA